ACUUCAACAUGUUUCAGAUAAAACCAAUUCUUGCAGUCAAACCUGUGCUGAAUACCACCUCUGAACAAUAGCACCUUUCCAGAGAGACCACACCAAUUUCUUUGCAGAUUUAUUUGGAAUUACAGAACUGUUGGUGACUUACUAGUACUGUUCAGUCUAGGCUAAUAUUUGUGACUGGAAUCCGAACUUCUGUUACCAAAUUACCAAGGAAUAACAGAAAAAGCUUAGGAAAUAUUGAAAACAUCUGAUAUGGAUCCUCAGACUGUUGGAAGAUGUUUUGUAAAAAGGUUCUACAACAAAGGUUUUGUCAAUAUAGGUGACAGCUCGACAAAGAUUUAUUUCGUCGAUUCUAAGGGUACCAAAGACAAUACAAUUAUUGUAAAGGUAUUUUGUACAUUUUGGUCCAUUUAAAAUGCUUUAAAUAAAGCAUAAAAAGUAGAUUUACAGCUGAUUAUUGAAAUCGUAAGCAAAAAAUUUACAAAAUGUUCUGUCUCAACGAAAUUAUUAGUCCCAUACUGGUUGAAAACCAGUUUCGGGGACUAUAAAGGAAUGUGCUUUUCUGUCAUUCUGUCAUUCCUUCUGUCCGUCUGUCCAUAAUUUUGUCCAGUCCAUCACUCUGUUAUCUGUGGAGGGAUUUUAGUAUUAUUUGGCACAAAUGUUUCUCAUAAUGAGAUGACCCCGGACCCAUAGUUACAAUUGGAGGUCAAAAGUCAACAGGGCUGUUUUCCUGUCUAGUCCAUAACUGCCAUCCAUAAAGGGAUUUUAAUAUUACUUGGCACAAAUGAACCUCAUAAUAAGACGAUGUGUCAUGCGCAAGUUUCAGACCCCUAGCGCAAAGGUCAAGGUCAUACUUGGCAGUCCGGUGUUAACAUGGCAUGAACAGGGUCUGUUUUGAGUCCAGUACAUAAUGCUGUCAUUCAUCAAUGGAUUUAAUAUCACAUGGCACAAAUAUUUCCCAUGAUGAGACGUGUCAUGCGCAAUACCCGGACCCAUAGUCACAAUUGGAGGUCAAAGGUCAAUAGGGCUGUUUUCCUGUCCGGUCCAUAACUCUGUCAUCCGUGAAAGGAUUUUAAUAUUACUUGGCACAAAUGUUCCUCAUAAUGAGACAACAUGUCAUGCGCAAUAUCUGGACCCCUAGUCACAACUGGAGGUCAAAAGUCAACAGGUUUUCCUGUCGGGUCCAUUACUCUGCCAUCCAUGCAGGGAUUUUAAUAUUACUUGGCACAAAGGUACCUCUUAAUAAGACAAUGUGUCAUGCACAACUUUCAGAACCCUAGCUUAAAGGUCAAGGUCAAACUUGGAAGUCAAAUAUUAACAUGGCAUGAACAGGGUCUGUUUUCUGUCCAGUCCAUAACUCUGUCAUUCAUUAAGGGAUUUUAAUAUCACUUGGCACAAAUGUUAACCAUGAUGAGACGACAUGUCUUGCCCAAAUCCCGGACCCCUGGCUCAAAGGUCAAAGUCAGAAUUGGAGGUCAAAGGUCUACAGCGCUUUUUUUCUGUCCGGUCCAAAACACUGCCGUCCAUGAAGGGAUGUUAAUAUUACUAAGCACAAAUGUUCCCCAUUAUGAGAUAACGUAUCGUGCGCAAAACUCGGACUCCUAGCUCAAAGGUCAAGAUCGCAAUUGGAGGUCAAAAGUUAGUAGUUUUUUUUUCUAUCUCUUCCAGAACUCUAUCAUCCAUCAAGGGAUUUUAAAAUUACUUGGCAGAAAUGUUCCCCAUGAUGAGAUGACCUGUCUUGCGCAACACCACGAACCCUAGCCUGAAGGUCAGGGUGCGUUUCUUAAAGAAUCUUAAGUCUGUUUUUACUCCUAAGUGCAAAACUAGGUGAAAACUGCAUUUCAAGAAAAAUCUUAAUGCGCACUAUGUGUGAAAUUAAGACUAAAAUUAGGACUAUUCCUAGGGGUGCCUCAGUUAACUUUUAUCUUUUGUCUUAAGACAAAAACUAGUGCAAAAAUAAAGUGGCGGCGCCGAUGUAUCUUGCGCUUUUCAGUGAUUUUCCGCUAUAAAUUACGAAAAAGUUAGCCCAACUGAUAAGUGAUUUUGUAAUACACCUUCCAAUACUGUGAAUUUACUGUGACGCAGUAUAAGCUACAUCGUCCAAUCAUAGACUGUUUUACAAUGGGUCGGAGAUAGUGUUGCUUAUCGACAGCGUCAAACAAAAUGAUACAUGUAGAUCUAUUCAGUUUCAACGCUGGACAUUUAACAAAUUACAUCUUGAGGUAUGUUUCAUCUACACUACAGUUACUUGUUUUAUAUGAUUACAUGUAUUGCAUCAUUUAUUCCUUGUGUUAUCUGGGCUCAAAAUUAAUCACUCUCCACCCACCCAGAAAUGCACCAGCGACCAGUAGGGGUGGAUUCAGUAAGUGAGUUACUGUAGUGGGGUGCGGAGUUUUUAGUUGGAUUCAAAUGCAUAUCACCUUCGAAAAUUAUUGGCAAAUAUAGCUCUACUAAAGUGACAAGAGUGUGACGUAUGUUUGAACAUGAAUAUUAUAUAGAUACUGUACUGUACAGCUGUAAAUAUUCACACAAAAUAAAAUGAUUUGACUAAGGUAAUUUAUGCUAAAAAGUAAUAUUUCUUUCAAAUUGAAGCUUUGGUCAUAUUAUGAACAUUAGAAUAUGAAUUUUUGUUUCUAAAAUACUUUAAAAAUUCUAUAUAAAAAAAAAAGGAUGACCGCGUCAGGAAUCGAACCCUGACCCGCCGCAAUAAUAAAGACACUUUUCUGUCGUCGUAACCAAUAGCGUGCGCCCUAUAGCUGAAGUAGUGAAUAAUGAUUUCAAAAUAAGAUAUUUAUAAUUGAGACAGUUUACCCGAAGUAAAAGCGUGACAAACGCUUUUCAAUUUUCAUCGUAAAAAGUAGUAAAAAAAGCAAAUUCUCAUGUGUUUCCUUAACAUAAAGUUUGUCGGCAAUUAAUUAAGUUUUAAAGCUUUGUUAAGAAAUAUAGCAUUUAUUUCAAGAUAUCUAAAAAAAAUUGUUUUGUUGUCCAACAAUCUGGAGACAUGUCGCUUUAAAGAAAGCAGGGCAAGAAAUGGCUGUCCACACUCUGGGCAAGAAAUAAGCAUGCAUUGAUGGAAUGUACAUUAUUUACUAUGAUUUAGUUUCCAGAUAAAGAAGGCAGGGCAAGAAAUGGCUGUCCACACUCUGGACAAAAAAUGAGCAUGCUUUGAUGGAACAUCAUUUAGUUCCCAGCAGAUUCCAGAUAGAAGUUCUUUCCAGAUGUAAAGUGAAUUGAUGAAAUCUUGAAAAAGUGUUGUGAGUGUUGGUGUUGUCCAGAUUUAAAAAAAAAGAGGAUCAAAUUUGAUGUGGAAUGAUUCAAAACAAAUCUUCAAAUUGACAAUGGCAAAAAGCAAGUGGAAAUGGAAUACUCCAGUUGAUGAAAAUGGUUAGCAUGGAUAGUUUUUGCCUGUGAAAAGUGCAGAGAUCUAUACACUACUGGUCUGCUCAGCUUGGUCAGUUCACAAAUAUUUUGUUAGAAAGUCUGCAAAGCCAUCGACUUGAAUACAUUGGUUAUUUUCCUUGUACCAACAAUAUGGAAAUAAAAUUUAUUUAUAAAUUUGAAAA